rnacentral:pre_miRNA from 2 species
UAUGUACUCUCUUUGUCUGGAAAUACUUGUUCUAGAAAUGGAUGUAUCUAACUUAUUUUAGUUACAGAUACAUCUAUUUUAUUCAUUUUUAGGACAAGUAUUUCCGAACGGAGGGGGUAUAAU